rnacentral:rRNA from 1 species
UACGGAGGAUGCGAGCGUUAUCCGGAUUUAUUGGGUUUAAAGGGUGCGUAGGCGGCUUUUUAAGUCAGCGGUGAAAUUUUGCAGAUUAACUGUAACAGUGCCGUUGAUACUGGGGAGCUAGGAUUUGGUUGCUGUGGGUGGAAUGUGUGGUGUAGCGGUGAAAUGCUUAGAUAUCACACAGAACACCGAUUGCGAAGGCAGCACACUAAGUCAUUAUUGACGCUGAGGCACGAAAGUGUGGGGAUCAAACAGGAUUAGAUA